rnacentral:hammerhead_ribozyme from 1 species
AUCCAGCUGACGAGUCCCAAACAGUAGGAAAUGCGCGUCAUGGAU